GAGUUUGAUCAUGGCUCAGAUUGAACGCUGGCGGCAUGCCUUACACAUGCAAGUCGAACGGUAACGCGGGGCAACCUGGCGACGAGUGGCGAACGGGUGAGUAAUGCAUCGGAACGUGCCUGGUAGUGGGGGAUAACUGCUCGAAAGAGCAGCUAAUACCGCAUACGACCUGAGGGUGAAAGGGGGGAUCGCAAGACCUCUCGCUAUCAGAGCGGCCGAUGUCGGAUUAGCUAGUUGGUGGGGUAAAGGCCCACCAAGGCAACGAUCCGUAGCUGGUCUGAGAGGACGACCAGCCACACUGGGACUGAGACACGGCCCAGACUCCUACGGGAGGCAGCAGUGGGGAAUUUUGGACAAUGGACGCAAGUCUGAUCCAGCCAUGCCGCGUGCGGGAAGAAGGCCUCGG
rnacentral:rRNA from 1 species